rnacentral:RNase_P_RNA from 1 species
CCAGAGGGUCGGGCGGCCGCGGGUGCGCAAGCACGCGAGGAAAGUCCGGGCUCCACGGAAACGACGGUGCCGGAUAACGUCCGGCGAUCCCGGCGCAGGCCGGGGUCAGGGAAAGUGCCACAGAGAGCAGACCGCCGAUGCUCGCCUUUGGGUGAGACAGGUAAGGGUGAAAGGGUGCGGUAAGAGCGCACCGCGCAACUGGUAACAGAAGCGGCAUGGCAAACCCCACCGGGAGCAAGACCGAAUAGGGGUGGCAUGGGGCUUCGUGCCCCGGGGCACGUUCCGGCUCGCCACCCGGGUUGGUUGCUUGAGCCCCGAAGCAAUUCGGGGCCUAGAGGAAUGGUCGCCUAUCCCCGCCGCAGGGCGGGGUGAACAGAACCCGGCUUAUAGACCCUCUGGCAUU